rnacentral:rRNA from 1 species
GGACUACUGGGGUAUCUAAUCCCGUUCGCUCCCCUGGCUUUCGCGUCUCAGCGUCAGGUGGGGUCCAGGAGCCCGCUUUCGCCACGGGCGUUCCUUCCGAUCUCAACGCAUUUCACCGCUCCACCGGAAGUUCCGGCUCCCCCUACCCCCCUCCAGGCCGGUCGUAUCGAGGCCCAUUCCCCAGUUGAGCUGGGGGAUUUCAACCAUCGACGUGCCGGCCCGCCUACACGCGCUUUAAGCCCAGUGAUUCCGAAUAACGUUCGCACGGUUCGUCUUACCGCGGCUGCUGGCAC